AGAGAGAGACAUGCGCGCAUAUCAAUAAGCGGAGGAAAAGAAAGUUAACAAGGAUUCCCUUAGUAACGGCGAGUGAAGCGGGAAGAGCUCAAAUUUGAAAUCUUCAAGGUUUUACCUUGACGAAUUGUAGUUUAAAGAAGUGUUUUCUGCUGAAGUUUUGGUAAAAGUUCUUUGGAAUAGGACAUCAUAGAGGGUGAGAAUCCCGUAUUUGACCAUUAUUUUCAGCUUUGUGAUACACUUUCAAAGAGUCGGAUUGCUUGGGAAUGCAGUCCAAAAUGGGUGGUAAAUUUCAUCUAAAGCUAAAUAUUGGCGAGAGACCGAUAGCGAACAAGUACCGUGAGGGAAAGAUGAAAAGAACUUUGAAAAGAGAGUUAAACAGUACGUGAAAUUGUCAAAAGGGAAGCGUUUGACACCAGUGUUGUUUUCUCGAAAAUCAAUUAAAAAUGGCUCGAUUUCGUAUUGCUUGAGACCUUAAAAGCUCACUGUACAUUUUUCGUGUCUUUUUUAAUGCACUUUUCGUUUAACAAGUCAACAUCAGUUUCUUUUGUUGUAAAAGGGUCAUUGGAAGGUGGCUUUCUUUUCGGAGAAAGUGUUUAUAGCCUUUGGCCUCUGCAAUCGGAGAGACUGAGGUCUGCAGCGUAGACUCUUCGGGGUUAGAUACAUUUGUGCUAAGUUAUAGCUUUUUAUAGACAACUUGUUGACUAUAAUUAGUCUUGUAGCUUACUCGCUUAUGCUAUUUUACCUACGCUUAGGAUGUUGAAGAUGUAGCACAUCAU
rnacentral:rRNA from 1 species